rnacentral:rRNA from 1 species
AGUGGGGAAUAUUGCACAAUGGGGGGAACCCUGAUGCAGCGACGCCGCGUGAGCGAUGAAGGAAUUCGUUUCGUAAAGCUCUGUCCUUGGAGAAGAUAAUGACGGUAACCAAGGAGGAAGCACCGGCUAAAUACGUGCCAGCAGCCGCGGUAAUACGUAUGGUGCGAGCGUUGUCCGGAAUUAUUGGGCGUAAAGGGUACGUAGGCGGUUUGACAAGUCAGAUGUUAAAACUUGAGGCUUAACCUCAUGUUGCAUUUGAAACUGUCAAACUUGAGUAGUGGAGAGGAAAGUGGAAUUCCUAGUGUAGCGGUGAAAUGCGUAGAUAUUAGGAGGAAUACCAGUAGCGAAGGCGACUUUCUGGACACAAACUGACGCUGAGGUACGAAAGCGUGGGGAGCAAA